ACGUAUGUCACCUCCCACGUAAUAUCUAAGAUUUAACCUUAUCAAACACUUAUCAUCUUUCGCAUGACAAGGUUAGUUUUAUCAGAAAAAUAGAUGCGUUAACGUCCAAUAAAGGGUUAAUUAAGUGAACAUAUUGCUAAUAUCGUUCAAUUCCUGGAAUUGGAAAUUGGAUUAACUUUAUAAGGCAUAGAUUCAAAGAAAAUGGAUGUUGCAGAGAUCUUCUUGGUUGCAGUAAAAAAUCCUAAAAAUUAAUAAUAAAAAUAUGACAAUUAAUAGAAUUAUGACAUACAAUUAAUAUAAACUAAAAAAUAUAAUUCCAACCAUGUGUAAGAUGUCCUCCAUCUGGAAGAUCUAAACCCAUGAUACGACCAUGAGGUUCUAACAAUCCUGUGUAGACUGCAAAGUUAGCAGGACUUCCAGAAUAAGGUUGUACGUUGCAUCCCCAUUCCUCGGGAUUUAAAUUAAAUGCCUCUAAAGAUC